rnacentral:rRNA from 1 species
GACGAACGCUGGCGGCGUGCCUAACACAUGCAAGUCGAGCGAUGAAACCCUUCGGGGUGGAUUAGCGGCGGACGGGUGAGUAACACGUGGGUAACCUGCCUCAAAGAGGGGGAUAGCCUCCCGAAAGGGAGAUUAAUACCGCAUAAUAUUAUUUCUUCGCAUGAAGAGAUAAUCAAAGGAGUAAUCCGCUUUGAGAUGGACCCGCGGCGCAUUAGGUAGUUGGUGAGGUAAUGGCUCACCAAGGCGACGAUGCGUAGCCGACCUGAGAGGGUGAUCAGCCACAUUGGAACUGAGAUACGGUCCAGACUCCUACGGGAGGCAGCAGUGGGGAAUAUUGCGCAAUGGGGGAAACCCUGACGCAGCAACGCCGCGUGGGUGAAGAAGGCCUUCGGGUUGUAAAGCUCUGUCUUCUGGGACGAUAAUGACGGUACCAGAGGAGGAAGCCACGGCUAACUACGUGCCAGCCGCCACAGUAA